UAGAUCGUAUAUUUUACAUGGAUAACUGUGGUAAUUCUAGAGCUAAUACAUGCAACCGCCCGGCUGCCUUGUGCAGCGGGCGCAGUUAUUAGAACAAAACCAAUCCGGCCUCGGUCGGUUGAAUGGUGACUCUGAAUAACCGAAGCGGAGCGCUAAGGUCUCGUACCGGCGCCAGAUCUUUCAAGUGUCUGACUUAUCAGCUUGUAGCGAGGUUAUGUUCCUCGCUUGGCUCUCACGGGUGACGGGGAAUCAGGGUCCGAUUCCGGAGAGGGAGCCUGAGAAACGGCUACCACAUCCAAGGAAGGCAGCAGGCGCGCAAAUUACCCACUCCCGGCACGGGGAGGUAGUGACGAAAAAUAACGAUGCGAGAGCGUUAAUGCUUUUCGUAAUCGGAAUGGGUACACUUUAAAUCCUUUAACGAGGAUCUAUUGGAGGGCAAGUCUGGUGCCAGCAGCCGCGGUAAUUCCAGCUCCAAUAGCGUAUAUUAAAGUUGCUGCGGUUAAAAAGCUCGUAGUUGGAUCCGGGCAGUCGACGCGCGGUGCGCCUUACGGCGUUACUGCGUGCUUCGGCGCCACUAUCCGGCCAUGUCUUCCAUGUUCUUUAUUGAGCGUGGUUGGCGACCGGGACGUUUACUUUGAAAAAAUUAGAGUGCUUAAAGCAGGCAUAUGGUCUUGCAUAAUGGUGCAUGGAAUAAUGGAAUAGGACCUCGGUUCUAUUUUGUUGGUUUUCGGAGCUCGAGGUAAUGAUUAAGAGGAACAGACGGGGGCAUUCGUAUUGCGGCGUUAGAGGUGAAAUUCUUGGAUCGUCGCAAGACGAACUACUGCGAAAGCAUUUGCCAAGAAUGUUUUCAUUAAUCAAGAACGAAAGUUAGAGGUUCGAAGGCGAUCAGAUACCGCCCUAGUUCUAACCAUAAACGAUGCCAACCAGCGAUCCGUCGGUGUUCAUUUAAUGACUCGACGGGCAGCUUCCGGGAAACCAAAGUGCUUAGGUUCCGGGGGAAGUAUGGUUGCAAAGCUGAAACUAAAGGAAUGACGAAA
rnacentral:rRNA from 1 species